UCACCAGGGGUCCAAUUUCUAAAUCCCAAAAUGAAUUACUGAAGUAAAAUGUAAUUUAUGGUAGUUUAUUUUACAAUAGAGGGAAGAUAUUAAGGAUGAGAGAAAAGGGGAGAGAGAAAAACUCUGGCUUCCUCUGAGCCAGGUAGAAAUUCUAAGGCCCUAAUCAGGGAAAAGAGUCUCAAGACAAUGGGCCUUUCUUGGAGGUUCACACCACCAGAAAGACAGGGAAACUAAGUCAGCCUUUCACUCACAACGGUGACCAUCUAAAAAGAAAGCAGUUUGAAGUCUCCUGCAUGAGCUCCUCCAAGGUCAAGUUCCACAGCCAAGUCUGCGUGUCUGUCUUCCAGUCUCCUCAAGUAUCUGUCUUCCAGUCUCUUCUCUCUCUCUCUGUCUCUGUCUCUGUCUUUGUCUCUCUCUGUCUCUCCCUCCCCUCAUCUCUCUGUCUCUCUCUCUCUGUCUCUGCCUCUCUCUCUGUCUGUCUCUCUGUCUCUCUCCUUCUACCUACCUCUGUCUCUGCCUCUCUGCCUCUCUCCCUCCCUCUCUCUCUCUCUCUCUCUCUCUCUCUCUCUCUCUCUCUCUCUCUCUCUCUCUUUCUGUCUCUCUCUGUCUCUGCCUCUCUCUCUGUCUCUCUUCCUCUACCUACCUCUGUCUCUGCUUCUCUCUCUCCCCUUUUAUGUUUUCCUCUAAUCUUCAAAGUGACAGAUCAUGCUGGUAGACCUGGCUUUUAAUUUUUUUUAAAAGAGAUUAUUUCCCUUUAAGUUGUUGUUAUUAUUUUUUCUUCCUUUUGGUGCUGCAAUCUUUUCUUUUUUUAAUCUUCCAUCUGUUAAAUAGUAGGUGGACGGCUCAUACCAGCCUUACCUCUGAUUCUACAAGUAUAUGGAAAUAUAGAAGAUAGGAAGGUGGAUCAAAGGCUUGUUAUGAUUCCUUAGAUUCAGGUGAGAGAAGAAUGCAUAUCACCCACAUUAUGAUGGGUGGGCUGAGCUGGCCCUUGGUGGAUUCAGUUGGUCCAGCAGUGCAGAAAUUUGAGUCGGACGCCUCCGAUGAACAAUGAUCCAGGGGCCUGAACAGCUUUUGGGAAAUUGCCUAGAGACUUUAAUAAUUCUAACUAGGACAGGUUGACCAGGGCUAUGCCUCAUGCCAUAGAAAUGUAAGGUUAAUUAUGUUAAAUGAGUGUAAAUUGUUUUCCUUGAACAUUGUAGAACGAACUUAAGUUUAGCCCUUAGUUUUCAUAAAUAACUAGUUAAAAAUGAGAAACUACAGAUAGUUCUCUUUGCCUCCCCAUGUCCCCUCCCCAGUGGCUUCACCCCAAGAUGAACUCCUCCCUAUUCUGGCCCAGCCCUUUCCUGUUCCUUCAGGAAACCCUCUCCCAACCCCCAGUAACCUCCCCAGCAGUGACUAAGAUCUCUUUCUCCAUCCUCCCUCUCCCCACCAACUGAAUUUGCUUUUAUAAGUUGACUUAAGGGUGUUUUCCACAAAGAUUGCCCCAAGUAGCAAAACUGCUUUGUCCUCAAGACAAAAAUCCCUUUUUUAACGCUAACGUUCUCUCUCCAAGUGGGCAAAGAAUAUCUAUUGUCGGAACUAUAUUGUGUAGUUGGAUGGAUGACCAAUAUCAAUGGUGUCAAACUCAAAUACAAAUCCAUCCCUGUAGGCCAUAUAUUGACUUGGAAAACCACAAAUUAAUAUUAUUUCUAUUGUAUUUCAAAAUUAUUUUGUUAAAUGUUUCUCAAU
ensembl:lncRNA